CCGCGGUAAUACGGAGGGUGCAAGCGUUAUCCGGAUUCACUGGGUUUAAAGGGUGCGUAGGCGGUUUGAUAAGUCAGUGGUGAAAUCAACGGGCUCAACCUGUUAACUGCCAUUGAUACUGUUGAACUUGAAUUUGGUAGAGGUAGGCGGAAUGAUGCAUGUAGCGGUGAAAUGCUUAGAUAUGCUUCGGAACACCGAUUGCGAAGGCAGCUUACUAUGUCAAGAUUGACGCUGAUGCACGAAAGCGUGG
rnacentral:rRNA from 1 species